rnacentral:rRNA from 1 species
CAGCCGCCGCGGGAAUACGAAGGGGGCUAGCGUUGUUCGGAAUAACUGGGCGUAAAGGGCGCGUAGGCGGAUCUUUAAGUCAGGGGUGAAAUCCCAAGGCUCAACCUUGGAACUGCCUUUGAUACUGGAGAUCUUGAGUCCGGGAGAGGUGAGUGGAACUGCGAGUGUAGAGGUGAAAUUCGUAGAUAUUCGCAAGAACACCAGUGGCGAAGGCGGCUCACUGGCCCGGUACUGACGCUGAGGCGCGAAAGCGUGGGGAGCAAACAGGAUUAGAUACCCCCGUAGUCCCUGUCUCUUAUAA